UCGGAGGCAGCAGAGAGGAAGUGAUCUGCCCAGGCUUUCUGGAGCCUUGGGGAAGCAAGUAGACCACAGGAUUUCCAAGGGGACAAGGGAUUCUCUUCUGCAGUGGGAGCAAGGCCCGUGCACCCGUGUGGAGUCAGACCCCAGGGCGUGCCCUCCGGGAGCUGUGUAUGCAACACGCUUUACAUAAAUAGAAGCAGAGGACGCCCAGCUGAAGCUCAUAAUUUGAAGCUUUCAAGCAAGAGACGAGCGACCUCUGCUGGCCAUUCUUGGGUAAGCCACGGGCCCUCUUGCAGCUGAGUCUUACCCAUUCCUCUGAUGAGGAAAAAAACAAACUCAUGGAAUCCAGUGUGCCCAGGUAGGAUUUUCUCUUUCUUCUCCCAACGGUAUUUUUUCAAGACUCUAAUUUUCCAAUUUCAUGUGGAAUGGAUGGGGGGAGUCUUUGAUAAGACAGAGUAAAUGAACAGUUUUUAUUAGGAUAACUUUGAGAGCCCAUCGCUGACGGUGGGAGAAAGGCUCAUUUUUCAUGCAGAUGAUUUAACCCAUGGAAUUGUUUUAGUCCCUUCUCAUUGGGACUGUGCCUCAGUGACACUGAGAUGUAAAGCCUCCUCCUAUCAUACUGUCACUUGCCCACCAGGGUAGAGCCAGCAGAGAGGCUCAGACCUCGGGGUGGGGGCCACUGUAGCUGGAAGCGUUUCUCCAGAUCAGGUGAGGAUGCAGACGGGGAAGGGAGGGAACUGAGAUUCCUGGGUCCCCAUUUAAGGAGGACUUGUACCAUCUGGGAGGCAAUCCUAUGAGAAAGUCGAGAAAUAUGUUGUCCUCUUCUCUUGAUUUCUGGUCCAUUACUAGGAAGGUUGUGCUCUUUAGGGGGGCCAGACACUACGUUCUUGGUUGUCUACCAAUUGUGGGACAUCAGUGAGGACCCUGAAAGACCCUCUGUUGGAACUGAGUCCCAUUCCAACAU